rnacentral:lncRNA from 1 species
GUUGUAGAAUCGAUUGUUUGACUGGUGUCAAUUGGACUGAGGUCUACGUAUUGGCUCAAGGAGUUUUUAGGUGAGUUGAUAUAACCCUUUACUAAAGUGGUUUAACUCACAAAAGCACGCAUACAAGGUGUUUGAUGAAUUGCUUAAAAGAGUUUAUCUUUAUUUAAUUAGAGCGAGUGAGUACCCAUUAAUGUAGAAUUUGUUCUAGCAAAAGUUUAGAUGAUCUAUUACGCUAUAUGUGCUUAAAUUUUCAGAUUUUUGCGUUGUUCUUAUAUGCUAUUUUCAUGUUGAAAAUUAUGAAGAAGAGAAUCUUUGAAAAUAUUUUUAUAUGUUUAUUUUAUUCUUAUGCCAUGCUUUACAUUUAAGGACACCAAUAUGAGCAUGUACAUAAUGUUCUAUAAAGAAAAGAUUUAGACUUGAAAAGUCACAAGAAGAAGUUUUAGAAAGAAAAGAUUUUUGGGGAGUAUCCUUUAUUCUGAGAAGGGGUCAUCAUCCAGGCCGAGGGUCCUGACCAAGGCGUUGACUUCCUGAAACUACUUGUGCCAAAGUAGGGAGCAUACGAGCCGAGGGUCUCGUUGCUGAGAAUUUACUUAGCCAUGCUAAGGUAUGAUACAUAAGCGCUGAGAACCAUGAAGCGAGUGGCACCUCGUGGAUUGGGCCUAUUCGAUCAGGUUGGGAUCGAACCCGUGCCGAUCACAUGGUGACUUAGACAGAAUUAAGUCAGGAUAGUUGGAACUCCCAAAUUAUAAAGUGAAGUAUUUUUUUUAAAGAAAGAAAAAGGAAAAGAAUUUUUUUUAGAAUAUUCAUAAAUUGCUAUUAUGCAAUUAUUUUAGAAUUAUUCUUAUAAGCUUUAUGUUUUACAUGCAUUUAGAACCUUUGCUUGUAACGUAUAUGUUAUUAAAGUUUCUCCCCCUGUUGUUGAGACUCACUGAGUACAGUGGAUGGUACUGACGUUCUCUUUGGGGAACCUACGUUGGUCUGCGGUACAACGUAGGAACUGGAUUUGCAGGCGAGCAGGUUACGAGUUAGGAUUUCCUUCCCUUCCAAUGAUAUUGGUGAGCUCCGCUUUUGUUCGUGGAGUAUUCUUAGAGUCAUUUUCAUUUAGCUAUUUCUUUGUUUAUUUAGAGACCUGGCCAGGAAAUCUCAUGUCC